ACAGUAAAUCGGUUUGUCGCUCCAAUUAUGGAUUGGGGAGGAAAGUCCGGGCAACACAGAGCACCAUAUUUCCUAACGGGAAGCUGUCAGCGAUGGCAGAGCAACGUAACAGAAAAUAACCGUCCGCCAUCCGGCGGAUAAGGGUGAAAAGGUAAGGUAAGAGCUUACCGGAGUGUGUGGCGACACAUGCUGCCGUACGUCUUAUGGGUUGCAAGAUCAUGUAAACCAACGCUAUCAGGCUUGCUCGGUCGAUGUUGGAGGGUAGAUUGCUCAGAUUUCGUCAGCAAUGCCGAAACCAGAUAAAUGACAAACUUCAUCAUUUGAUGAAAACAGAACCCGGCUUAUAGGUUUACUGUAUUU
rnacentral:RNase_P_RNA from 1 species